rnacentral:lncRNA from 1 species
GCUGACCACUUGACAUGUGAGAGACUGAGGAGUUGUUCCCCCUCCGUCCAUGUUCGAGGACUUGCUCUCUCUCUGCCUCCACUUCACCACUUUUUGGCUACUGAGACGUCUCUGAUUGGUUGAGUUGACCACCCUAUAUAUGAGAGCCUAAGGAGUUGUUUUCCCUCUGUCCCCUUUUGAGGACCUGCUUUGUCUCCUCCAUCAUUCACUGGGCCACUUUUGGGUUCCUGAGCUUAUUUCAUGUGGUCAUGAAUUUGGUGAGGAGUGGAGCUGGCUGGCUGCGGACGAGGAAGUAGGGCAAUAUAUACAUGUGCACAUACACGUAUAUGAGAAUGCAUAUCUAUUCAGACCUGUAAUUCAUGUCUUAGACUUUUUAACACAGCUAUAGAUCAUUAUUUGUUUUUCAAU